GAUAAACGCUGGCGGCGUGCUUAACACAUGCAAGUCGAACGAAGUUUUUCCUUCGGGAGAAACUUAGUGGCGGACGGGUGAGUAACGCGUGGGUAACCUGCCCUGUACAGGGGGACAACAGCUGGAAACGGCUGCUAAUACCGCAUAAGCCCUUAGCACUGCAUGGUGCAUAGGGAAAAGGAGCAAUCCGGUACAGGAUGGACCCGCGUCUGAUUAGCCAGUUGGCAGGGUAACGGCCUACCAAAGCGACGAUCAGUAGCCGAUCUGAGAGGAUGUACGGCCACAUUGGGACUGAGACACGGCCCAGACUCCCACGGGAGGCAGCAGUGGGGAAUAUUGCACAAUGGAGGAAACUCUGAUGCAGCGACGCCGCGUGAGUGAAGAAGUAUUUCGGUAUGUAAAGCUCUAUCAGCAGGGAAGAAAAUGACGGUACCUGACUAAGAAGCACCGGCUAAAUACGUG
rnacentral:rRNA from 1 species